CGGAGGAUCCAAGCGUUAUCCGGAAUCAUUGGGGUUUUAAAAGGGUCCGUAGGCGGUUUAGUUAAGUCAGUGGUGAAAUACUGGUCGCUCAACGAAUCAAACGGCCAUUGAUACUGUAAGACUUGUAAUUACUUGGAAGUAACUAGAAUAUGUAGUGUAGCGGUGAAAUAGCUUAGAGAUUACAUGGAAUACCAAUUGCGAAGGCAGGUUACUACAAGUAUAUUGACGCUGAUGGACGAAAGCGUGGGGAGCGAACAGGAUU
rnacentral:rRNA from 1 species